AGAGUUUAGAGCAAGUUACAAGCAAUGUGGCUGAGAGUUACAAAGUUGCAGCUUACAUCCAAGCCAGCAGACAGUGAGCCAACAGGAGCCGCAGUACAAAACCAUCAGUCAAAUAUUAUGCUGUGGUGGCACAUGCAAGACAGCUUAUGAGACUGUGCGGUCAGGACAUGAGUCAACUUUCAGAGGCAGACAUGAGGAUCUAUACUGCAUAUAGAGUGGAAAUAUACAACGAUCAGAGGAAAAAGCAGUGUGAAAAGUUCAGAAUCUCCAACAGCUAUGGCGACCCCUGCUGUACAAUUGCAAGAGCAGAUUCUGUUAUCAAAAUUCAAUUAACUAGCUAGAUUUCGCUCAGCAUACAGGAGUAUAAAAAUGCUUAAAAAUAAAUGUAUGUGUAGGCAGGCAACCAGACAUAC